rnacentral:rRNA from 1 species
GAUGAACGCUAGCGGCAGGCUUAACACAUGCAAGUCGAGGGGUAACGUGAGUGCUUGCACUUGACGACGACCGGCGCACGGGUGCGUAACGCGUAUAGAACCUACCUUAUAGUAAGGGAUAGCCCAGAGAAAUUUGGAUUAAUACCUUAUAGUAUGAUAAGAUGGCAUCAUUUAAUCAUUAAAGAUUUAUUGCUAUAAGAUGGCUAUGCGUUCUAUUAGCUAGUUGGUAUGGUAACGGCAUACCAAGGCAACGAUAGAUAGGGGUCCUGAGAGGGAGAUCCCCCACACUGGUACUGAGACACGGACCAGACUCCUACGGGAGGCAGCAGUGAGGAAUAUUGGACAAUGGAGGCAACUCUGAUCCAGCCAUGCCGCGUGUAGGAAGACUGCCCUAUGGGUUGUAAACUACUUUUAUAGAGGAAGAAACGGUUCCACGUGUGGAAUUUUGACGGUACUCUACGAAUAAGGAUCGGCUAACUCCG